UUGGAGGGCAAGUCUGGUGCCAGCAGCCGCGGUAAUUCCAGCUCCAAUAGCGUAUAUUAAAGUUGUUGCAGUUAAAAAGCUCGUAGUUGAAUUUCGGGAUCAAUAUAUCGGUCAUGCUUAGGUAUGUACUGGUAUUAUUGAUUUCUCCCUUCUGAAGAACCAUGAUGUCAUUAAUUUGAUGUCGUGGGGAAUCAGGACUGUUACUUUGAAAAAAUUAGAGUGUUUAAAGCAGGCAUACGCUUGAAUACAUUAGCAUGGAAUAAUGAAAUAGGACGUUUGAUUCUAUUUUGUUGGUUUCUAGGAUCGACGUAAUGAUUAAUAGGGAUAGUUGGGGGCAUUAGUAUUCAAUUGUCAGAGGUGAAAUUCUUGGAUUUAUUGAAGACUAACUACUGCGAAAGCAUUUGCCAAGGAUGUUUUCAUUAAUCAAGAACGAAAGUUAGGGGAUCGAAGACAAUCAGAUACCGUCGUAGUCUUAACCAUAAACUAUGCCGACUAGGGAUCGGAUGAUGUUAAUUUUUUAAUGACUCAUUCGGCGCCUUACGGGAAACCAAAGUGUUUGGGUUC
rnacentral:rRNA from 1 species